rnacentral:miRNA from 1 species
AUUUGGACAAGGUGCUCUGUUUUG